AGAACGAACGCUGGCGGCAGGCUUAACACAUGCAAGUCGAACGGUUGUAGCAAUACAGCAGUGGCAGACGGGUGAGUAACACGUGGGAACCUUCCUAGGGGUACGGAACAACUCGGGGAAACUUGAGCUAAUACCGUAUACGUCCGUGAGGAGAAAGAUUUAUCGCCCCUAGACGGGCCCGCGUAGGAUUAGGUAGUUGGUGAGGUAACGGCUCACCAAGCCUACGAUCCUUAGCUGAUCUGAGAGGAUGAUCAGCCACACUGGGACUGAGACACGGCCCAGACUCCUACGGGAGGCAGCAGUGGGGAAUCUUGGACAAUGGGCGCAAGCCUGAUCCAGCCAUGCCGCGUGAGUGAAGAAGGCCUUCGGGUUGUAAAGCUCUUUUACCAGGGACGAUAAUGACGGUACCUGGAGAAUAAGCCCCGGCAAACUUCGUGCCAGCAGCCGC
rnacentral:rRNA from 1 species